GCUCGUAGUUGAACCUUGGGCCUGGCUGGCCGGUCCGCCUCACCGCGAGUACUGGUCCGGCUGGGCCUUUCCUUCUGGGGAACCUCAUGGCCUUCACUGGCUGUGGGGGGAACCAGGACUUUUACUGUGAAAAAAUUAGAGUGUUCAAAGCAGGCCUUUGCUCGAAUACAUUAGCAUGGAAUAAUAGAAUAGGACGUGCGGUUCUAUUUUGUUGGUUUCUAGGACCGCCGUAAUGAUUAAUAGGGAUAGUCGGGGGCGUCAGUAUUCAGCUGUCAGAGGUGAAAUUCUUGGAUUUGCUGAAGACUAACUACUGCGAAAGCAUUCGCCAAGGAUGUUUUCAUUAAUCAGGGAACGAAAGUUAGGGGAUCGAAGACGAUCAGAUACCGUCGUAGUCUUAACCAUAAACUAUGCCGACUAGGGAUCGGACGGGAUUCUAUGAUGACCCGUUCGGCACCUUACGAGAAAUCAAAGUUUUUGGGUUCUGGGGGGAGUAUGGUCGCAAGGCUGAAACUUAAAGAAAUUGACGGAAGGGCACCACAAGGCGUGGAGCCUGCGGCUUAAUUU
rnacentral:rRNA from 1 species